CGGCUAUUUCACAGGUGCACUUUAUUGUUUCCUCGUUCAAUUCAGCAGCCUCGGUGAACUUCGCAUAGCAGCCUAUGAACUGUUUUUUUCAACUGCUGCAGAUUCUGAUUAGAGGGGCUUGAAGGAUUAUAUCGUCAGUUGACCAAAAGCCGAACAUACAGGCACGUGUAGGAGAGACAUAUGGGACACACUGACCGAGCUUUUCUGUUUUCCGCUCUCUAUCUUUCUCUAUAUCCUCUGCAUCCCACUUUCUCAUACUAUCCCCUCAACUUCCCACAGUAUCAAUAAAUCAUUCUUGGGCAGCUCCAGCAGACUAAAUCAGUCACUAUGUAAACAUGGCUGCUAAUCCAUCGGCAGCCUGCCUAACUCCCACUCCCUUACAUCCUCCUCUUCACUUUAUCUAGCAGCACCCACUAGGGACUUUCUGAUCAGUCGAGCUGCGAGAAGAGCAGUCUCUAUGCGUUUUCACUGCCUGCGGUCUCCCGUAACCCGCUACGCACAGAGACACACGUGAGACGCACAGGGACCGGGGAAGACACAGGCACAAGAUGGACGCCUGUCUCGAACAGCUAUUUUACACAUGGGAGCAGGGCAUGAGAUCAUCCUGACAGAGGACAGAAAAAAAGGCAGCCAGCAUCCGAAGAAGAGCUUUGAAGGUCCUUCAAAAAGCCUGAGGAACUAUUCCUGAAGACUACUUGAAGAAAUGACAAGAAAGCUGCCUAAGAGAUUUCCGGCUGUGUUGAUGAAUAAAGCAAAAUAUAAAGAAUAAUUACAUGAACUACAUGGGUUUGACUCAGCCGGCCGUUUGGAGACCUUCUAUGUUGAGUUUGCAUUUUCUCCCUGUGCCCACGUGGCUUCUCCGCAAGUCCUCCGGCUUCCUCCCACAGUCCAAACAUAUCCUCAUUGUUGAUUCUACUGUCAGUCUGCGUCAGCACUGUGAUGGACUGUCGGCCUGUCCAGGGUGUGCCCUGCUCCUCACCCCAUGACAGCUGGGGUGGUCUCCAGCCCUCCAGUAACCCUAAAAUGGAAUUCAUUUACAUUCUUCUGUGUUAACAUAUGCACCAAGAUUAGUGAUGUUGUGGAUAAAAAAUGAU